UUAAGACACACUGUGAAUCUAUCCUUUAACCGAGAUGUUUCUUUACCUUCAAACCUGCAAAUUAUGUUUACUGAGUUGGGAAACACGAUGCUUAUUGCAGGGAUCUUGUUUACAUACCAUCCAAAGUUCUUCCUACCAGUUUAAUUUUUAAGAUUCCUCUGUUCGUGCGCCUCACGCCUCAUCGGCAUAACUUUUUGAUUGCGGAAACAUUUGAUCAGCGUCUGUCUGGGCGACUGAAUGAGUUGCUGAGAGAGGAGAUCGCUUUGCUAUUGUGCUCCUGAAACACAGCUCCGCUCCACAUUAAUAUUUGAUCCAUCCAAGGUGGUUUCACUUCUCCUCUCCAAUCUGAGAGCAUUUACAAGAGGCAGGGAGUACAGGAGGUCUGAGUGGAGCAAUCUGUGUGCUCAUGUGUACACACAGAGGGAAUUCACAACAGCCGCCCCCACCAAAGCUCAGCUGCUGUGAUGGGAAAGAUAUCCUGGUGGUGCUGUCCUGGUCAUGGUGGUAAAUCCGGUGAGGUGGUUUGGACAUCUGGUUAGCCGGGGCAGCCCCAGAACAUGCUGGAGGGACUAUAUAUCUCUCCUGGCCUGAAAACGCCUUGGCAUCCCCCAGGAGGAGCUGGAGGGCGUUGCCAUGGAGAGGAAUGUCUGGGUUUCCUUAUUCAGUCUUGUGGAACUGUGACCUGGUCCCAGAUAAGCGAUAAAUGAUUGGAAUUUUUGUGAAAUGUUAUAUACCGUAUUUGGACCAUGGGAACUACAUCUGUGAACUGCACUUAUCAUGUGUACUUUCUCUAUUUGCUGUCAUGAUCAGCUCUGAAGUUAAAUACUUGCAUUGAACCUAAAUAUGCACAGCUUUCCUUUUUUUAAAAAAAUUUAAUGUUCCAACUUAUCAAAAAGUUUCAGUACAGUUUACAGCAGAAUCAGCAAAUGUUUCUACUAAUAGAGACA